GGUCUGUCUAGGUUCAGAUUGCUCCUGGAACGGAAGCUCAGCUAGCUGCUGGCUUCCCCUGCGCUGCCUGAAAAUAACAUUUCCAGGAUCUCUGCGUGUCUGGUUCUUGAGGGCUUCAGUUACCUGAGCCCAGGGGAAGCUGUGGAGCGGCUGCCCCAUCUGAAUGGCCUGACAGAGGUGUGAUGGAGGACAGGUGGCUGCAGCCGCGGCCCCGCUGAGUGUGCCGGUAAAGAGUCACUGAGCUGUGCUGUCUGCAGGGAGCCUUUGUCCCAGCUCCAACCUGAACCAACCACGCCGCCUGUGUUACUGGGAUAGGAGGAGCUGGGCCGGUGUGGUGGACAACCAAACCCGCGGCUGAUGUCAGGGGUUAAUGACUGCUGGUUGGAUUUAUAAGGCUACCAAAGAUGCAGAUAGGCACCUCCAAGGAUCUUCAAAACACGAACAAAGGUACCCAACACACAAGGAAAAAAUAAAAACACAUGAAACGGCAGUUUUUCAAAGGAUGGCUAAUCUUCAUCAGACAUUGUAGAAAACAGCUUCCUUUGCCUUCAGGGGUUAGAAGAAGUUGUCUAAAGCAGAAGUCAUCACUCCUUUUUGCUUGCACUUCUGAGGAGCUGGGCUGCCCUGCUAUACUGAUGCUUCGAGCUGGCCAAGAUGAACUGCUGCCUCUGCAUGCUGUCUGAGAACAGGGAACUGAUAUGCAAACCAGACUGUGCUGCUCCAGAAUUUGCACACAAACUGAAAGAGAAUUCCUCAAGGCUCCAGAUUUUUUUUCCAGGAAAAAAGACUUGGACGAAAGGCUCUGGUGGCCUCAGAGGCCUGGCAGUGGGUGAAAUGUGCCUUUCACAUAGGCACAGAGAGUUUAUCUCUGGCAUGGAGCUGUUGGCCAGCACUUCUGGAAGUGUUUUGGUGGCUUCCUGUGAAUUCAAAGGGGUUGGGAGCCUAUUGGUCAGUCCCUGAUAGCCUUUCUGUUUUGUCAGGGAGGUGCUGGAGAACUGGCUAUGGAAAUGGAGCACCUCGCUGUGCCUGAAAAAGCAAUUGUUGUGGUUAAAUAGGGCAGGUGGUGCAGUAAGAACCCAUGUCUUCCUGGUCCUGCACUUGCACUUGCUGUUAGAAGAGGGUCUGAUGAGUUUCCCUAAUACUUCACGCCUUUUGGAAGCUAUCCAGAUGGCUCAAGGGACUUGAGAUGACAUAUACAACUACUCCCUGUGGAUCAGUGCUUUGAAUCAGGGGACAGGCCAGGCAGUGCACGGUGUCUAUCAUGUUAUGUUCCUGCUGCGAGCAGGCUGUGGGUGAGCACUGUAGGACUGCUUCACAGAGUCACAGCAUGGCUGAGGCCGGCAGGGAGCUCUGGGUCCAUCUGCUCCAGCCCUACCUCCAACUGACACCCAGAGCAGGCUGCUCAGGAACAUGUCCACGCAGUUUCUGGAGAUCUCCAGGGAGACUCCACAGCAUCUGGCCAGGCCGUGCCGGAGCU
rnacentral:lncRNA from 7 species